UACUUUCAAGCAUUCGAGCAGUAAGCAGCCCCACACUACAGUAAAGGUUUUAAAAGGUAUCUGGAUACCAGCUCACCUCUGUAUAUUUCCACGAUCCUUACAGGACUGUAUGGUAUGAGGGACUGCUGGAUCUGGCAAACCUAGGUCCACACACCUGGGUUUAUGUAUAAGGAGGAUAUGAUGGAUUCGUCCCAGUGUAAUAAAGAUGCCGUCAACUCACA